UACAUGGGGUGCAAACGUUGCUCGGAAUUAUUGGGCGUAAAGCGCGCGUGGGCGGUUACUUAAGUCGGAUGUGAAAGCCCUCGGCUUAACUGAGGAAGUGCACCCGAAACUGAGUAGCUAGAGUACGAAAGAGGGUCGCGGAAUUCCCGGUGUAGAGGUGAAAUUCGUAGAUAUCGGGAGGAACACCGGUGGCGAAGGCGGCGACCUGGGUCGAGACUGACGCUGAGGCGCGAAAGCGUGGGGAGCAAACAGG
rnacentral:rRNA from 1 species